UACGGUCACAUCACGUUGAAACAGCGGUUCCCAUACAAUUACCAAAGUUAAGCGAUGUCGAGUCUGGUCAGUACCUAGCUGGGUGACUGCUUGGGAAUACCAGGUGCUGUAAG